GAUGAACGCUAGCUACAGGCUUAACACAUGCAAGUCGAGGGGUAACGAGAGGGAAGCUUGCUUUCCUUGUCGACGACCGGCGCACGGGUGAGUAACGCGUAUCCAACCUGCCCCCAACUAGGGAAUAACAUUGCGAAAGUAAGGCUAAUAACCUAUAAUUUCCUCAGAUGUCAUCAUACGAGGAAUAAAGAUUUAUCGGUUGGGGAUGGGGAUGCGUCUGAUUAGCUUGUUGGCGGGGUAACGGCCCACAAAGGCAACGAUCAGCAGGGGUUCUGAGAGGAAGGUCCCCCACAUAGGAACUGAGACACGGUCCAAACUCCUACGGAGGGCAGCAGUGAGGAAUAUUGGUCAAUGGGCGGAAGCCUGAACCAGCCAAGUAGCGUGCAGGAUGACGGCCCUAUGGGUUGUAAACUGCUUUUAUACAGGAAUAAAGUUAGCCACGUGUGGUUAUUUGUAGGUACUGUAUGAAUAAGGACCGGCUAAUUCCGUGCCAGCCGCCGCGGUAA
rnacentral:rRNA from 1 species